GGAGCUUGUACGGCGAGUGAGCGGCAAAAGCUCAAAUUUGAAAUCUGGUACCUUCGGUGCCCGAGUUGUAAUUUGGAGAGGGCAACUUUGGGGCCGUUCCUUGUCUAUGUUCCUUGGAACAGGACGUCAUAGAGGGUGAGAAUCCCGUGUGGCGAGGAGUGCGGUUCUUUGUAAAGUGCCUUCGAAGAGUCGAGUUGUUUGGGAAUGCAGCUCUAAGUGGGUGGUAAAUUCCAUCUAAAGCUAAAUAUUGGCGAGAGACCGAUAGCGAACAAGUACAGUGAUGGAAAGAUGAAAAGAACUUUGAAAAGAGAGUGAAAAAGUACGUGAAAUUGUUGAAAGGGAAGGGCAUUUGAUCAGACAUGGUGUUUUGUGCCCUCUGCUCCUUGUGGGUAGGGGAAUCUCGCAUUUCACUGGGCCAGCAUCAGUUUUGGUGGCAGGAUAAAUCCAUAGGAAUGUAGCUUGCCUCGGUAAGUAUUAUAGCCUGUGGGAAUACUGCCAGCUGGGACUGAGGACUGCGACGUAAGUCAAGGAUGCUGGCAUAAUGGUUAUAUGCCGCUCGUCUUGAAACACGGACCCAUA
rnacentral:rRNA from 1 species